rnacentral:lncRNA from 1 species
UUGUUGUGAAAAUCGUUUAAGUCAAAUGAGUAUUAAAAAUGGGGAAUCUUUUAAUAUCUGCAUUUGCUUAACGAUUGUUGUGGAUGAAGUCUGUGUAUGCUCAUGCAUUUCAUUUUGGUAAAUUGUGCUGACCCGUGAUAGGUGGCACCUCGGUAAACAGUACUGACCCGUGAUAGGUGGUACGUUUACGGUUUACGUUUAGUAAGUUGUG